AUUGAACGCUGGCGGCAUGCCUUACACAUGCAAGUCGAACGGCAGCAUGGGUGCUUGCACCUGAUGGCGAGUGGCGAACGGGUGAGUAAUGCAUCGGAACGUACCCGGAAGUGGGGGAUAACGUAGCGAAAGUUACGCUAAUACCGCAUAUUCUGUGAGCAGGAAAGAGGGGGAUCGCAAGACCUCUCGCUUUCGGAGCGGCCGAUGUCGGAUUAGCUAGUUGGCGGGGUAAAGGCCCACCAAGGCAACGAUCCGUAGCGGGUCUGAGAGGAUGAUCCGCCACACUGGGACUGAGACACGGCCCAGACUCCUACGGGAGGCAGCAGUGGGGAAUUUUGGACAAUGGGGGCAACCCUGAUCCAGCCAUGCCGCGUGAGUGAAGAAGGCCUUCGGGUUGUAAAGCUCUUUCGGCUGGGAAGAAAUCGCAUCUCCUAAUACGGGGUGUGGAUGACGGUACCAGCAUAAGAAGCACCGGCUAACUACGUGCCAGCCGCCGCGGUAA
rnacentral:rRNA from 1 species